AAUGAACGCUGGCGGCAGGCCUAACACAUGCAAGUCGAACGGAUCCUUCGGGAUUAGUGGCGGACGGGUGAGUAACGCGUGGGAACAUACCCAAAGGUAGGGAAUAGCCUCGGGAAACUGGGAGUAAUACCGUAUGUGCUCGAAAGAGGAAAGAUUUAUCGACUUUGGAUUGGCCCGCAUUGGAUUAGGUAGUGGGUGGGGUAAUGGCCUACCAAGCCGACGAUCCAUAGCUGGUUUGAGAGGAUGAUCAGCCACACUGGGACUGAGACACGGCCCAGACUCCUACGGGAGGCAGCAGUGGGGAAUCUUAGACAAUGGGGGAAACCCUGAUCUAGCCAUGCCGCGUGAUCGAUGAAGGCCUUAGGGUUGUAAAGAUCUUUCAGGUGGGAAGAUAAUGACUGUACCACCAGAAGAAGCCCCGGCUAACUCCGUGCCAGCCGCCGCGGUAA
rnacentral:rRNA from 1 species